rnacentral:rRNA from 1 species
AACAUCGCCUCCUGCCCAAGUAUAGGAGGUCCUGUCUGCCCAGUGACUCUGUUCAACGGCCGCGGUAUCCUAACCGCGCAAAGGUAGCGUAAUCACUUGUUUUUUAAAUAAAGACCUGUAUGAAAGACCACACGAGAAUCGUACUGUCUCCCUCCUCUAAUCAGCGAAACUAAUCUCCUCGUGAAAAAGCGAGAAUUCCCAUACAAGACGAGAAGACCCUGUGGAGCUUUAAACAAACACAUCAAGUUUAUUACCCCUUACUAUGAUUGUUAGUUUUUGGUUGGGGCGACCUCGGAACAUAAAAAAACCUCUGAGAUGAUACGGAACUCUCCUAAACACAAGGCUACAACCUUAUGUAUCAAUAAAUUGACAUUAUUGACCCUCAUUGAUCAACGAACCAAGCUACCCCAGGGAUAACAGCGCAAUCUGCCCCGAGAGUCCAUAUUAACAGGCAGGCUUACGACCUCGAUGUUGGAUCAAGGUAUCCGAGUGGUGCAGCCGCUACUUAGGGUUCGUUUGUUCAACGAUUAAAACCU